UACGUAGGGGGCUAGCGUUAUCCGGAAUUACUGGGCGUAAAGGGUGCGUAGGCGGUCUUUCAAGCCAGAAGUGAAAGGCUACGGCUCAACCGUAGUAAGCUUUUGGAACUGUAAGACUUGAGUGCAGGAGAGGAGAGUGGAAUUCCUAGUGUAGCGGUGAAAUGCGUAGAUAUUAGGAGGAACACCAGUAGCGAAGGCGGCUCUCCGGACUGUAACUGACGCUGAGGCACGAAAGCGUGGGGAGCAAACAGGAUUAGAUACCCCGGUAGUCCCUGAGCGGG
rnacentral:rRNA from 1 species